GUGCUCACUUCAGCAGCACAUAUACUAAAAUUGGAACGAUAGAAAGAAGAUUAGCAUGGCCCCUGCACAAGGAUGACAUGCUAAUUUGUGAAGCAUUCCAUAUUUUA
rnacentral:snRNA from 1 species